ensembl:rRNA 5S_rRNA 5S ribosomal RNA
GUCUACGGCCAUACCACCCUGAACGCACCCGAUCUCGUCUGAUCUCGGAAGCUAAGUAGGAUUGGGCCUGGUUAGUACUUGGAUGGGAGAAAGCUACAUAUAAAAGGAAUUUGGAAGGGGACC